rnacentral:tRNA from 1 species
GGUGAUGAUAGUUCAGCUGGUCAGAACGCCGGAUUGUGGAUCCGGAGGUCACGGGUUCGAAGCCCGUUCUUCACCC